ACGGGGUGCCUAAACUGUGUGCACUGCGAGGUGCAGAACAGAGGCUGAGAUCAUACCCAAGAACCUGAUCCGGGUAAUGCCGGCGUAGGGAAAAAGCCUAUA
rnacentral:ncRNA from 1 species